rnacentral:rRNA from 1 species
UACGUAGGGUGCGAGCGUUGUCCGGAAUUAUUGGGCGUAAAGGGCUCGUAGGCGGUCUGUCGCGUCGGGAGUGAAAACUCAGGGCUUAACCCUGAGCCUGCUUCCGAUACGGGCAGACUAGAGGUAUGCAGGGGGAGAACGGAAUUCCUGGUGUAGCGGUGAAAUGCGCAGAUAUCAGGAGGAAUACCGAUGGCGAAGGCAGGGUCUCUGGGCUGACACUGACGCUCAUGCACGAAAGCGUGGGAG